AGUGGCGAACGGGUGAGUAACGCGUAGAUAACUUACCCUCGGGUUUGGGAUAACUCUCUGAAAGGAGAGCUAAUACCGGAUAAUAAAAAAUAGCGAAAGCUUUUUUUUGAAAGGUCCGCCGCCCGAGGAUAGGUCUGCGUGACAUUAGCUAGUUGGUAGGGUAAUGGCCUACCAAGGCUACGAUGUCUAGUGGGUCUGAGAGGAUGACCCGCCACACUGGAACUGAGACACGGUCCAGACUCCUACGGGAGGCAGCAGUAGGGAAUCUUGCGCAAUGGGCGAAAGCCUGACGCAGCAAUACCGCGUGGGUGAAGAAGGCCUUCGGGUCGUAAAGCCCUUUUUCAGGUGAAGAUAAUGACGGUAGCCUGAGAAUAAGCACCGGCUAACUCCGUGCCAGCAGCCGCGGUAAUACGGAGGGUGCAAGCGUUGUUCGGAAUUAUUGGGCGUAAAGGGCGUCUAGGCGGCCUAAUAAGCGCAGGGUGAAAUCCCGGGGCUCAACCCCGGAAGUGCUUUGCGAACUGUUAGGCUUGAGAUGAUCAGAGGCAGGUGGAAUUUCUGGUGUAGAGGUGAUAUUCAUAGAUAUCAGAAGGAACAUCGGUGGCGAAAGCGACCUGCUGGGGUCAUUCUGACGCUGAAGCGCGAAAGCAUAGGUAGCAACCAGGAUUAGAUACCCUGUUAGUCUAUGCCGUAAACGAUGAGUACCGGC
rnacentral:rRNA from 1 species